rnacentral:lncRNA from 1 species
CUACCAACCCGAAGCUGCUGAAUAUAUUUGCACAAAUGGGCACAUGAGGCUCCCCUGAGACAGGUCAAGUUGGCCCUGGCACAGUACAAGCACAUGUAUUUUGAUAGCAAUAGGGCCCAUUUCCUAAUCAAAUUGUUAAGAGGUUAUUAUGUUAUCACAUUCAAGUGUUUGAAAAGCCUGCCGUGAUUGAAAUCAAAUGUGUUAUUUUCUCAUAAAGGAAGCGUAUUAGAAUCGGAGAAAUGCUAUAAGGGUACAAAUUCUCAAUUAGAUCUGGCAUAUUUUCAGCCUUUUUGCUUCUUUAAUCUUGUCUGGUGUUCUUGGGUCAAGUGCUACAAAGGAGAAGGGUGAGGAGGCAAAACGUCCCAUCAGAUAGCACCCCCUGAAUCCUACUUGGAAGGCAAUGUGGUUCUCUAGUAUUAAUUAGGAAUUUCCACAUGGCGUGCCUAAUCAGAGUGUGGGAUUGCUGGAUAACAAUUUCAACAUCACAUUCAGCAGGCUCUGAGUAACAUCAGUGGGGCAGGUUUGACAGCUGUUUCUGCCAUCACCGUGUAGCACUUGAAACCUCAGUUCUAAGAUUCAUCUGCUUUUGGAGCCUACUGGCUGCCUGGCUGAUAGAUGGGUUUGCUUAGUCUGUUUUCGUUGGAGUGCCUUGGCCAGUGUAAAGUAUGGGAUUGGAAGGAGAAGUGCAAUUUAGCUGUGAAUUCAAGGGGAUUUGUUUUCCUCGCCUCCAGAUGGGGAUGCUUUCUCUUCAGAUGCUGCCUAAAAUCUUCCACAAAAUAAAUUAUUGGCCUUUAAGAAAGCACAAGCAUUUUCUUUUCAGUGUAGCUUUAUCCAGUAACUAUUAAUUUGAAUAUCUACUAUAUGCAUCAUAAGAGGUGAUGAGGAAACAAAAGGCAGCAGUAAAACAUCAUUUUAAAUAUGCAUGUUACUCUUCUAGGGAACCUGAGUCCUAAUUAUAUAUCACUUAUUCUUACUCUGCCAUAGGAAUUCAAAUUCCUGAAUCUUAGAUACUGUGAGACCCCCAUCAUCUUGCAGAGAACUCUUUACAGAGUAUUUGUUAGAGAAAGAGAGUGAGAGAAAAAGAGAAAAGGAGGGAGAGAGAGAGAGAGAGAGAGAGAGAGGGCAGGUGGGCUUGCUUUUAAGAACUUGUUCAUUAGAAGGGCUGCAUUUAAAUUCUGGCCCUUGGAGUUACUGUUGUGGCUCAGCUGUAAUGAACCCAAGUAAUAUCCAUGAGGAUGGCGGGUUCAAUCCCUGGCCUCGCUCAGUGGGUUAAGGAUCUGGCAUUGUUGUGAGCUGUGGUGUAGGUUGCAGAUGCGUCUCAGAUGCUGCAUGGCUGUGGCUAUGACCUAGGCUGGCAGCUGCAGCUCUAAUUAGCCCCCCAGCCUGGGAACUUCCAUAUGCUGAGGGUACAGCCCUAAAAUGAAUAAAUAAAUGAAUAAAUUCUGGCCCUUACAUUUGGCAGCUCUGUGAUCUUGGUCAAGAUCAAACUCAAGAUCUUUAUCUCAGAUUCUUCAUCUGUGAAACUGAGAUAAUAAUAUUUAUCUCACAGGAUUUUUCAUACUAAUCGAAUAUGUAAUUUGCUUAGUAAGUGUCUGGCACAUGGUUAGCUGAACCAAAUGGUAUUUUUUAUCUUGUUAUUAUCAUCAACCUGCUACCAUUACAGAUACCUUAAAAUCAUUUGUUUUAUUUAUCUCAUUUGACCUCUAUGAAAUACCAUACCGGAAAGUCAAAUUAAAUAACUCCCUUCAAACCGCAUAGCUGGUGAGUAAGAAUGCCAAUAUUUGUAACUCAGGUCUCUCUGGAUCCAAAACCUGUAUUCUCUAUCACUCCUGUACCAUAUCCCCUUCCUCUAAACGGUUCUGCCACUUUAAAGGAGAUGUUAGAUUCACAUUUUUUCCCUUGGCUCCAGGUUUGUAGAAGUUGAAGGUCCAGUUUGCUAAUAUGUUCUUAUUCAUAAAAAUGUCAGCAGAGAAAAAACAUAAGGGAGUGUGUAAGAAAGUUAGUUUUUUACAUCUGAACCGUGAAAGUAGCGAUAGGUGGGUGAUAGGAGGUCAUGGAAGGAAAAUAGGUUCCGCUUUUAAAAUAUUUCGGUCCACCCAGUAGUAAACCUCCCGAGGGACUAUGUGUUCCUCUCCCAUGACAAAAACUAGUUAUUUGGGGGCUAGUUCCCUUUCGAAGAAUCCUUUGAGCGUGUAAGAAUUUGCUUCUCGGCUAGGGAGACACACUUGGUUUUGCACAGUUGGAGAGUUUUCCUCAUUGCGAUACAGCCCUCACACUGGGUGUGGGUAUGUCAUCGAAGAACCCAAGUUAAGUCCACACCACGACCCUCACCUUUCUCCCUCCCCGGACUCAAGAUCUAUUUCAGUAAUUUUUAUUUUUUUUAUUUAUUUAUUUUUCUUUUUGUCUUUUGUCUUUUGUUGUUGUUGUUGUUGCUAUUUCUUGGGCCGCUCCCGCGGCAUAUGGAGAGGUUCCCAGGCUAGGGGUUGAAUCGGAGCUGUAGCCACCGCCUAUGCCACAGCCAUAGCAAUGUCAGACCUGAGUCACUCACGGAAACAACGCUGGAUCCUUAAUCCACUGAGCGAGGCCAGGGAUCGAACCUGCAUUCUCAUGGAUACUAGUCAGAUUUGUUUCCACUGAGCCACAAUGGGAACUCCAAGCCUCAGAUUUUUGGUUGUAAAGUAAUGGUCUUCACUCAUAUGUUUCUAUGAAGUUUGAGUGAGAAAAGCCUAUACAAAGAGCUUAGCUUGGUGCUUGACCCAUACGAAAUACACAGAAAUAGUAACUAUCCUUAUUGCUAUUGAUGUUUUCUUAUUAGAAUGUGUUAGUGUUAUUCUGAUAUUCUAAACUAGAAAUUUUGAAAUUAUUUAUGGAUUUUUUUUUCCAUUGUAAUCUCUUCUUUGUGAUCAGAUAUCUUGGUGUUCUCACCUUCCUCUUUUAAUCCGCGUCUAUUAUUCCAGUCCAGGUUUUCAUUAUUCCCAGACAGAAAGUAGUUUGGUUAUUGUAAAACACCAUGGGCUCUGGAGCCAAAACAUCUGUUGGAAUCCUGACUCUGCACUUUAUGGAUGAAUAACCUCAGGAAGAUCUUCUAGCAUUGCUGAGAUGCCGUUGAGUUUAAUAUGAACAAAACCUCUUAUGUGUGUUGAUUGAUUCACUUAUUCAUUCAUUCAUAAGAAAUAUACAGUACAAUUUCUUUGACUUACUUUCUCCUGUAUCCUGGGCUCUAUGUUAUUCUCUGAGGAUACAAAGAAGAAUAUGCAUCCUGGCUUCUUACAUGCAAUAGUUAGAUUCACAAAUUUGGCGAUGUACAUAAAAUUUGACAUGUUAUAUACAAUAAACAAUGUAGUAAAAAAAGAGGCAAAUCCUCCCAAGACCUAGAGAAAUGUUUUAAUUUUCUCUGAGUUUGGAGAUCUAGGGACAGGUGUGGUCAGAGAAAGCAUUAUAGAGGAUGUCAUUUUUGACUUGAAGGAAGUCAGAGCUAAAGGAGAAAGGUCAAGGUUGUCCUAGACUCCAGCAGUUGUGUAUCAGUAUGGAAGAAUUAUAGAAACUGCAGGCAGCUGAGUUGGGCAGAGAGGUGGAAUGCAAGGAUUAAUGAAGGGGUACAGAAGUGGGUCCAAAGUUUGUCAUAAAGCAAGGGAGGUGGGUGGGAAUAGGUAAUGAAGGGCCUUGUGUGGAGACUGGACUUCACCUCGUAGAUAAUGAGGAAUGACUAUGCAAUUUAGAAAAGAGGAGAGGCCUGGUUAGAUUUGCAAAUCAAACCAUUACUCAUGUCAGGUAGCAGAAUGCAGGAAAAACAAGAAAAGGGUGAUAUUACAAUGAGGACAUCAGGUAAAAUGCAUCAGGGGGACAAGUUCUGAGAUAAAGCAAGGACAUUGGGACUGGAGGGCUGAAGGGUAGAAUAAACUAGUGAGCUUACUGAGGAAGAGAUAUCAGGAAUUUAAGACCUUCUAGAUAUAGAAGAUAGAGGAGAGAAAGAAAGAGAGGAAAUAGAGGUUAAUCCACACUNCCCCCCCCUUUUUUUUUUUUUUUUUUUUUUAAACCAACUACCUAGAGAAAGCAUCAUGAAAUGCAAACAAGAUAUGCCAGAGGGAGAAUAGAUUUAAGAGUAGGGUAAAGAGAUUCUGAGUUUAGAUUUGAAUACCUGAGUUCGAGGUAUUUAUGUUGCACUCAGGUAGAAGGAUUUAACAGGCCAUUUGAAAUAAAGAUCUAGGAUGUUAGAGAGAUCUGACUUUGGUGUCUUUAGUGUAGUUGAAGCAGAAUGGAUAAGAUUGCUCAGGAAAGCGGGAGGAGGGUGCUGGGGACUGAAACACAGGAAAUGACACCAUCAUGUUAUAGGACAGAGAGGACCUGCUCAGGAGACAUGGAGCAGUGAGUAAUUUGCCAGUGUUUGACCUUUAGCAGUCUAAUGUUUCUGUUUUUAUUUUUUUCAAAUAAAUUACACAUUUCUAGUAAAAGAAGAUCAUAUUUUAUACAUACAAAUUUGUGGCUCCUCUAGAGUGCCUAGAAUCAAGUUGGCCAAACAGUAGAUGCCUUUUAAAUACUCGUUACUUGAUUACUAAUUUUGAAAAGAGAGAGUGAGAAAGAAAGAAAGAAAGAAAGUG